GCAAAACAGAUCACACUAGUGGAGCUGCAAUACGCCCUCGAGCAGCGUCGUCGCCCAGACACUGACAUGCCGGGGAGGCCCCCCCAACGGCAAGCGUCCGCACAAGCAAAGCAGAACAUGCAGCUUCUGACUUCCUACAAAGUUCUUCGGGACAGGUGGAAGGAAAGGGUGGAACGAAACCAACGGAGGCUGAUGGUGGAGGAGGAGUGGCGCCGCGCUUUGGUGAUGCGCCACCUCCAGAAGAGAGAGCAGCAGGACCGUGUGCCGGGCAGUUACCACCAAGAUGGCUUUUAUGCGUGGAAAUAAAGGGCCUUUCCGA